rnacentral:RNase_P_RNA from 1 species
CAGGAGAGAUGUGACCGCUUACGCCAAAGCGUAAGAGGAAAGUCCGGGCUCCUCCGGAAAAAAUGCCGGGUAAUACCCGGGCGGUUUUGUCCGUUUUGCGGAUAGGGCCGACAGAGAGCGUAACAGAAAGCAAACCGCCAGAUGCCAAUGUGCGUAGUAUAUUUGCAUCUGGUAAGGGUGAAAGGGCGGGGUAAGAGCCCACCGCGGGUCCGGUAACGGACUUGGCAGUACAAGCCUCAUUUGGAGCAAGGUCACGCAGUAACUGUAGUUCCGGUAUGACAAAAUCGUUGGUUUUGUCCGGUUACGGGUAGACCGCUGGAAACGCCGGGCGACCGGCGCUGUGGAUAGAUGGUCACGCCAAAUUUUUGGUGACAGAACCCGGCUUAUGGUCUCUCCUGUUUU